AUCUAUAGCCACAACACCCCGAAUGCCUCUGAUGCCCUCAGAUCUCAGAAGCUAAGCAAGGCCAAGCUUGGUGAGUUCUAGGAUGGGAGUAAGGAGCAGACAUGAUGAAGAUA
ensembl:rRNA 5S_rRNA 5S ribosomal RNA